rnacentral:rRNA from 1 species
CUGGUCCUACGGGGCGCAGCAGUAGGGAAUCUUCCACAAUGGACGAAAGUCUGAUGGAGCAACGCCGCGUGAGUGAAGAAGGGUUUCGGCUCGUAAAGCUCUGUUGGUAGUGAAGAAAGAUAGAGGUAGUAACUGGCCUUUAUUUGACGGUAAUUACUUAGGAAGCCACGGCUAACUACGUGCCAGCAGCCGCGGUAAUACGUAGGUGGCGAGCGUUGUCCGGAAUUACUGGGUGUAAAGGGAGUGUAGGCGGGAAAGCAAGUCA